GAUGAACGCUGGCGGCGUGCCUAAUACAUGCAAGUCGAGCGAACAGAUAAGGAGCUUGCUCCUUUGACGUUAGCGGCGGACGGGUGAGUAACACGUGGGUAACCUACCUAUAAGACUGGGAUAACUUCGGGAAACCGGAGCUAAUACCGGAUAACAUUUGGAACCGCAUGGUUCUAAAGUGAAAGAUGGUUUUGCUAUCACUUAUAGAUGGACCCGCGCCGUAUUAGCUAGUUGGUAAGGUAACGGCUUACCAAGGCAACGAUACGUAGCCGACCUGAGAGGGUGAUCAGCCACACUGGAACUGAGACACGGUCCAGACUCCUACGGGAGGCAGCAGUAGGGAAUCUUCCGCAAUGGGCGAAAGCCUGACGGAGCAACGCCGCGUGAGUGAUGAAGGGUUUCGGCUCGUAAAACUCUGUUAUUAGGGAAGAACAAACGUGUAAGUAACUGUGCACGUCUUGACGGUACCUAAUCAGAAAGCCACGGCUAACUACGUG
rnacentral:rRNA from 1 species